ACUCAAAGGAAUAGACGGGGGCCCGCACAAGCAGUGGAGUAUGUGGUUUAAUUCGACGCAACGCGAAGAACCUUACCAGGACUUGACAUACAUGUGAAGAGUUAAGAGAUUAACGGGUCUUUAGGGACACAUGAACAGGUGGUGCAUGGUUGUCGUCAGCUCGUGUCGUGAGAUGUUGGGUUAAGUCCCGCAACGAGCGCAACCCCUAUUGUUAGUUGCCAGCAGGUGAAGCUGGGCACUCUAGCGAGACUGCCGUUGAUAAAACGGAGGAAGGUGGGGAUGACGUCAAAUCAUCAUGCUCUUUAUGUCCUGGGCUACACACGUACUACAAUGGCAAGAACAGAGGGAAGCGAAGCUGCGAAGUGGAGCGAAUCCCAAAAAGUUGCCUCAGUUCAGAUUGUAGGCUGCAACUCGCCUACAUGAAGAUGGAAUUGCUAGUAAUUGCAGGUCAGCAUACUGCAGUGAAUACGUUCUCGGGCCUUGUACACACCGCCCGU
rnacentral:rRNA from 1 species